rnacentral:lncRNA from 1 species
UUGGGCUUUUCGUUGGCCAUAGCGAGCACCUGAGUCUUCUCAGCUACCGCUUCACAAAAGAGGUACCAGGUCCGCACCAAACAAGCAAACAAGCAGCUCCAUGAGCAGCAGAAGGAGGUGGCAGUGGUGGCCGAGGGAGAGGGCACGUGCACGUCAUGCACUUCUUUCCCGCCUGAAUCUUGGUUUUGCCGUCUGCUAGUGUUGUCUUGGGAAAGUUUCUCAACUUUGAAUGGCUGAACUGGAGGUGCCCAAUAAAUAUAUUGUGAGUGAAUGCUGUUCCUGUGCACACAGCGCCACUGGGAGACAGAAUAGCUGGUCUCAUGGCCAUGGACAGGCUAGAGGAAAGAGUAGGUUCUGAGGUUUGCAUUUGGUGAGAGUAUGUUGCCCUCCACAUGGCAAAGAUUCAGGAAUGAAUAAAGACAAGGAAAGGAAUGAGCAGAAAUGAAAAUCAUUAUUGAGAGAAACUUGGGCAUCUGCUGUCAGAAUGAAAAGAAAAAGCCUCCAUCAACACAUGAAAGGAAGUCCAGACUGAGGGAAGGAAGAG